AUGUCGAGCGGCAGAAGGGGGGCAGGGGAGGAGCUGACGGAGGAGGAGGUGGUGCCCAUGGAGGACGCCGUGAAGAUGCUCGUGGAGCACCUUGUCAAGCCCGCUCUGCGGCGCGGGGCGGCCUUCGGCGCCGCCCAGGGCGAGCGCUACGUGACGCCGGACAAGCAACGCGCCGUCGCGCAGCAGAUUCACACGGCAAUCAUUUUGUACAACUACUACCACAGGAAGAUGUUUCCGCAGCUUGCUUUUGCAGAUCCCAAACAGUUUUUUGAGUGUGCUUCUCUUUCUGUUGGAGAAGAUCUGCUCGCAUACUUGAGUAUGGUCCAUGAGCAUGAGAACAAUUCUGGCAAGCAUGCGGAGCUAUCUAUUACUCACAAAGUAGCACUACAGGCAUGUGAGAUCGCUGGACAACUCGACACGAGCAAACAUUCUCCAGAAAUGGCAUUGUGGCCAAUAUCAAAAGUUGCUGUGCUUCUCCUCGACCCGACAAAAAAAAAAUGUUUGGUUGAUUAUAGUGCUAAUACGAAGGGUAUCUGGUCAAUCAUAGAGAAGGAAUUAGAUGGGGCAGCUGGUAAUUCACACAGUACCAACCAGCCAGCAGGCCAGGAAUCGACAGCUAAAGGGAACGUUGGUGCUUCACAUUCACCAUUUAUGCUUCAGCGACAAGCAUAUUCAGAGGUGGAGCGUAGAACAGGUAUGAAGGUCUCAAAAUUGCAUCUUCUCGAUGAAACCUUGGCAUACUCGUUGAGUAAUAAAAAGGCAGCUACCAAGGUAUUCAUUGUGGAGUAUGAGCCAACCAUGAAAGGCAGUCUUGAGGAAAUUUCUCUAGAAGACUUGAUUAGCAGUAUGACUGGUCCGCUAUUUGUGAAUGAUCCAUUUCCAAAAACGACAUCUGUAGUAGAGUACUAUCACAUUCUUCCGUACAAGGAGAUUUUGUCUGAACUCCUCCACAGGAAAUGGUCUUCUGAUUCUUCACUAAACGAGCAACCACGUAGACAUGGAAAAGGUUCACUGCACUCCGUAAUAGAUGAAAAUGUGGAAGAGCAAGAUGAGAAUAGCACGUCUAAGCUGCAAAAACGAAUUAAAAAAGUGUCAACUCCAAAGCAAAGCAAACAAGCAGUUAGUGCCAGCAAGCACAAGAAAAGCAGCAAAAGAAAAUAUGAAGCCUCCAUGGCUGCAGCUGAUGUCUGUGCAGAGGGUCUGAAUAGUGAGAUCCCCACAAUAAAACAUGUUAUUGAGGUGGAACCUCCAAUACCCAUGAGUAAGUCAAGAGAUACAGAAGCUGCAGCCGCAGCAGCAAGUGGAGGAACUAAAAUCCUACAAUCGGGUGUUCAAGUGGAGAAGAACAAAUCACAGGAGCAAUCUAAACAUGACAAUAUGCCCCAAGAUGUCUUUCCUACAGAGGCACCACAUGUUGAUCUAGUGAAGAACCGUGCUUUGGAAUGCGAAAAUAUGGAUUUGUCAGGAAAGUCAGGCGGCACCACUGAGUAUAACGUUGAUGACCAGAUAGAUGAUUCGAUGCGAUCAAUUCAGAAAAUACGGGAUGAAAUUCUUCGCAAGGAAAGCAUACUUCAAGAACGAAGUGCUCAGUGUGAUAUGGACAUCCAGACACUCUUGAGUGAAGGAAAGAUGACACCUAAAGCUGUAUCAAUAAUAAGCAAAUACAAGGAAACUUGCUCAGAUAUGAAGGAAGUUACCAAUUCAUCUUGCUCUGGAGAUGGUGGCCAACCCAUCACUAAGAGGAAGAAAUUGAGGGAGGCACUCCUGCGACACUGCCAGGAGCUUGAUGAGAUUUGCCGUGGGGCCCAUUGGAUAUCCCCAAGAUACACGCUACUACCUUCAGCAUCAGAUGGGAUGUACCAUGCCAGUGUACGUUUGAGAUGCCUUGAUUUUGAGAUGAGCAUCACUGGUGAUCUUCGUCCUACCCCACACGAGGCGAGGUGCUCUGCAGCUGCCAAUAUGAUACUGGAGCUUCACAAGAAGGCGGAGCAAGAACAGUAG
rnacentral:rRNA from 1 species